GUGUCAGCAGCCGCGGUAAUACAGAGGGUGCGAGCGUUGUCCGGAAUCACUGGGCGUAAAGGGCGCGUAGGUGGCUUCUUACGCGUGCGGUGAAAGCCCGGGGCUCAACUCCGGGUCGGCCGUGCGAACGGGGAAGCUUGAGUCAGGUAGAGGCUGAUGGAAUUCCGGGUGUAGCGGUGGAAUGCGUAGAGAUCCGGAAGAACACCGGUGGCGAAGGCGGUCAGCUGGGCCUGAACUGACACUGAGGCGCGACAGCGUGGGGAGCAAACAGGAUUAGAAACCCUCGUAGUCC
rnacentral:rRNA from 1 species